rnacentral:rRNA from 1 species
CCUACGGGAGGCAGCAGUAAGGAAUAUUGGUCAAUGGACGGAAGUCUGAACCAGCCAUGCCGCGUGCAGGAAGACGGCCCUAUGGGUUGUAAACUGCUUUUGCAGGGGAAUAAACCUCAUUACGUGUAAUGAGCUGAAUGUACUCUGAGAAUAAGGAUCGGCUAACUCCGUGCCAGCAGCCGCGGUAAUACGGAGGAUCCAAGCGUUAUCCGGAUUUAUUGGGUUUAAAGGGUGCGUAGGUGGCCUGUUAAGUCAGGGGUGAAAGACGGUAGCUUAACUAUCGCAAUGCCCUUGAUACUGAUGGGCUUGAAUAAACUAGAGGUAGGCGGAAUGUGACAAGUAGCGGUGAAAUGCAUAGAUAUGUCACAGAACACCAAUUGCGAAGGCAGCUUACUAUGGUUUUAUUGACACUGAGGCACGAAAGCGUGGGGAUCAAACAGGAUUAGAUACCCUGGUAGUCCACGACCUAACGACUAGAUACUACGUAUGUUGGUCGUAUAUACGUACGUAGCGUCGUA